CGGGAGAGAGGAAUCACAGCCGGCCCGAUGCGGCUGUGUCCGCCGCCGGGGUCGCGGCUGCGGGAGGAGCGGGCAGAGACCGGGGCGGGGGAGCCGCCCGUCAGCCCCGCGAGCUCCGUCCUCCGAAGACCGUGUUGCGCCUGCGCCUCGUUCUGUAAAUUCUGCAGUGGCCUUUGGCCAAAAGCAAGAAAAUCCUGACCUAGAAAAGGUACUGAGGAGAUUAAACUCACUGUGUGGCUCCAGAGAGCAAAACGAGGACCGGUUGGCAGAAUCUUCCAGGAGGCAGAAAAGCCUGCCCAGGGGAGCUGCUGGCUCAUGAAGGACCUGAGGACAGACCGGAGCCCACUUACACCCUGAAGAAGAGCCCUCUCACCUGCCGUGAGCAAGAAAAUACGUUUGCUAUUGUAACCCAUUGAGAGUUCCAGAUGACUAAUUACAUAGCAAAAAACUGACUAAUACAGUUAUACAAACUGAUCUGAUCAUAGAAAACACCUGCUGGCAUCUCUCAGCACUCCGUGUCCCUCAGAACCUGCUGCUCUGGGAAGGGUAGACUAUUCUUAUAAUCAGAAUGUCUCAGAGCAAGAAAUAAAGGGGCCACAUUAACAUCAGACAACCGCCCUGCACCUACCCGAGGACCAUAGAACCUCACUUCCCUCUUGGAUCUCCCCUGUUAGCUCUGAGCAUCCACGGUGGGCGGGGACACAUGCUUAGGGCUCCGACCACCCUCAGCAUCCACUCUGCCCUCCUCCUGGACUGCUGACCCCUGCAAGCCGUCAGCGGGACCUCCCACCUCUGCCUCCAGUGCUGGUGUCUCUGGGAGCCUGCGCCUCUGCUGAGGGCUGAGGUCUCUCCCUGCUCCAACAAGCAGUGACCCCAGAAGGCCCAGGAGGUGCUGGGCGGGUGGCCUGCUCUGGGGAGAAUGCCCCAUCUCUUGUCUCUGGAUGUUACCUGGUCCCUGAGCCGCACUGCUCAGAAGCUGAGGCUCACACAGCGUCUCAUGAAUACAGCCAUGCUCUGGCCUUAACCCGUCUCCCCAUGGAAUCGGAGAACUGUCCCUGUGGCCAGAAAGAGAAAGAGCACGAUGCAGGCAGCUGCUCCUCCCCUCCCCCCCCCACAACCAUCGCUUCCCUCUUUACCCACAGGCACCUGCCUCCAGAAAUAAAUUCUUCUCUUCUCCUUUAAUCUAAUGUAUUUGAAUAAUGAAGAAAAGAUAUUUAUGGAAGGGAUGAUGCCUAAGUCUACCUGCCAGGAGAACAUGGGCACCAGUUCCGAUUCAUCCAAAACACCUCUGCCCAUUUAACAGAUGAAGAAACUGAGGCCCAGGGAGGCAACACAAGUUGCCCAAGUUUGCACAGCUGCUAAGGGGUAACGAUGGGGAUGAGCCCAUAGCCCUGUGCUUCCAAAGAUCU